GGGAGUGGGCGGGGGUGGUGCGGGAGUUGCCCCGGGGUAGGGUUUGACCGAGCGCAGGUGGGAGGUGUGUUAGCAGAAUAAGCCUUUUUUUGUUAGCAGAAUAAGAUCUUAAGGGGUAUUAUUAGAAUAGACCCACCCUAUAUAUAUAUAUAUGUAUAUAAGGAGGCCGGCACAGAGAAGAGGGUUGAAAAAGCCCUUGUGUAUAAAAAAAGCUCCCUCACCAGCGCACCGCCGCCGGUCGGCUCCCUCCCCAGCGCGCCGCCGCCUGGCUCCCUCCCCAGCUCGCCGCUGCCAGGCUCCCUGCCCAGCACGCCACCGGCCCCGGCUCCCUCCCCAGCGCGCCACCGCCAAGCUACCUCCCAGUGCGUCGCCGCCCUAUUCCUUCCCUAGUGUGCCGCCGUCAGGCUUCCUUCCCAGCGCUCUGCCUCCCGUCUUCCUCCCCAGAGGGCCGCUGCCUCCCGGAUCCCUCCCUAGAAGCCACCGCGGUCUGUUCCUGCCGUCGCCGCCCGGACAUCGCCAAGCCCAGGCUGUGCCGCGACACCUCCAUGAAUGCGUGCGGUGCCCCGACUCGAUGGCUUUCGGCCUCCAUCACCGCCGCUCCCCGAACUGCUGUCUGCUGCACGAGCAACACAGUGGGCCGUUCGACUUCCUGCCGCUGGCCGUCCUCCCUGCCGCGGGGCACCUCUCCCCCCUGCACCACCUGUGGCGACCUUCACCUACAAGCUUGGGGCAGAGCUCACCCUUCUCCACAUCCUUUUCCUCUACUAAUUGCAGCCGUUGGCGCCGUGGGUGGCCACAAAUAGAGCAGUUCAGUGUGUAUUUUAAGAAGAAAAACCAACAAUGGCGGCUGCACUGGAGCCACAGGACUACUAUUACUGAUAGGAAAGGAAAAAAAUCCCUCACACCAAAUCUGGAUCGGGUCAAUCAAACCCCGACCCCGAGCGCCAUCAUCUACCACCUUCCCCGGUCGCCGCACCUCCGGCCACCAUCUCCCGACCGCCGCGCCUCCGCCCAUCUUCCCCGGCCACCGCGCCCCCGACCAUCUUCCCCCGGCCGCCGCGCCUCCGGCUACCCUCCUCGGCCACCGCGCCUCCGGCCUCCUCCCUCCACCGUGCCGCGCCUCCGUCCACCUCCCUCCGUCGACGCCGCGCCUCCGGCCACCUUCCCCCAGUCGUCGCUCCUCCGGCCUCCUUCCCUCCACCAGCGUCGCUCCUCCAGCCACCUCCCUCCACCACCACCCCUCGGGCCACCUUCCUCUGCCACCAUUCAGCCUCCGGCCACCUCCCUCCGCCACCAUUCAGCCUUCGGCCACCUCCCUCCGCCACCACCCGCCUCGAGCCACUUCCCUCCUGGCUGCACGCCCCGCGAAGAAGACCCGCCGUUCGCCACCUACUGCUGGCCCAGCUCCUGGAGCCACUACAUCAGCGCACGCAUGUUCAGUUUCGGUGAAAAAAGGAGCUCCCCUUUGAGUUCAAAUGGGUUCAAAAAAAUGGUUUGCUGCAUUACAGUUAGUGUUUUUUUGUGUGUUGUUUGUAUACUCGCAGUUACUUUUUGGGCAUCAUUCGAUCUGGACCAUAGUUGCUGCAGGGAUCUAUUUAGCACAUAUAAUUAAAAAAACAUAGUUCAAAUAAUAUUCCCCCAAAAGUUCAAUAUUUAGGGUUCUGCGCGUGUCCUUACAUUAGCUAAUCUUCAUCAUGUCCAGAUAAUGCCUAAAGUGAAGAGAUUUUUUUAAUUCAACUUUUGAACGCCUUUCAGUUCAUCAACUUCUCGGCUGUCCUGAGUUGCAGCAUUGCUGCUACUAUCAAUGGGUUUGCAAGUUGCAACCAUUAUUGAUGCAUUUGUAUUUCUGAUCAUUGAUGGUUUCAUGAGGAUGUGCUCAAAAAUUGCUACUGUAGGUUGCUCUUUGUUGCAUUUGGUACCGUCAAUUAAAAAUUAUUCUUUCUUAUGUUUCUGUGUUGUCAAAGAAAAUCUAAUGUACAUGUGAUGUCCAGUUUCUUCUUUAGGUUCAGUUCAAUAUCUAAAAUCCGUUCAGUUUAAUUCUUAUGCGUCGUGAAAAAUACAUAUAACAUGCUUUGUUGUGUGGGAUUUGGGGGGUGCCUAGUCUGGCUAAGAAUGCCUUAAUUACUGCUUUCUUUGCUCUGUUCAAGUGACAGAAAAAAUCAGUUUGAGAAUAUAUAUGCAGGAGGUUGGGAGCAAAAAAACCUCAUAAUUUUUCCCAGUUCAAUGAUUGGAAGCAAAAAACUGUAGCUAGUGGUUUCGAUGUGUCAAAAGAUGAACAUUUCUGCUCAAAUUAAGUUUGCAUCAGAGAUAUAGCCAUUUUCUUAGUGAAUUUUCUUUUAGUGAAACUUAUUUGAUUGCUCAAGAGAAGUGUUAUUUACUAGUGAAUUUUCUUUUAGUGUAGAAGUUCAAUAUGUAUUUAUAUCAACAGUCUGUAAUGAACAGUACAAUCUAUGUGCUAAAACAUAACAGAUCAGUUCAUUGUCAGUACAGGCUCUGAAGCUGCUCAGUACAGGUUGGGGAACAUUUUUGGAAUCACAUAUAUAUAGCGGUUGCUUCCAAAUGAAUUUGUCGUUGCUAGUACAUUUUUGGUAGCAGAUGCUUCCAAGUGAAUUGCCGUUACUACUAUCUACGAUGUUGCUGCCAUGUUUUGUUGUUCUUUGAAUUUACUAUGUAACCACUGCUCAUGGUAACAUCAAACAACAAAUUUUAUAUGCCUGGCAUGUUUGAUCUGAUUUGACUCCAUGACCAUAGUGCAAAACAAAAAACUACAGUAUCCUUGCUAGCUUACAGCUGUAAUUUUGAUUGCACAGUAGUUUCAUUGCAUUGCCAUCUCCCGGUGGGGCUCUGCUGUCGGAGCACCCUGGCCGUUCACAGCCACCACUCCAGGCCGUUCAAUGCCACCACCCCUGGCCAUUCAUUGCCAGCAGCACCCUGGAUCCCACCCCUCACCCUAGUUGUUUCAAUUAUCGAGUGAGUUUCAGUCCAACUUGAGCUCCUUGACAUGAUCAUAUAAUAACUUCAAAAUUAUUACAUGGUCCAUGUAUUUUACAGCAAGUCCAUGUAGUACUACAUGGGAAGUACAAAAAUUACUUCUAGUGAGAGUUCAUUUAAAUCUACAGGGUCCAGUCCCAUAUAUCUUUUAACCAGGUUCAUGGUGAAGCCCAGGGUGCUCGUCGGCGAUCACAAGAAGCAGACCAUCGAGAAGGAGCUGGGCGACAUGGUGCAGCGGUGUGGCCAGUUCAACCACCUAGCUAAUACAUCAUGAUUUUCUCUCUUUUGCCUAUGUCUCUUAGUGUGUUACCCCUUCCUCUUUUCAUAUAGCGUAUUCUGAACAUCAGAUGCUUUCAAAAAUGUGUCGCGCAAGUUCAAGUAUAGCUGCUGCAGGAGUUCAAAAAUCUGAACAGUUUAAGCUCAACCCAAUUUCAAGAACUGUUUCCUUUAUAAAUUGUUUGAAGUUUGUGAUUUUGGCUCAUGGCAGGAGCUCGUUGACGAUGAAGGAUGUGAAGCUUCACCACCAUUCACAACUCCAGUAUGGUCCAGUUCGUCAUGAGGAUCUGGAGCUUCAACUUUUUCAGUUCAUCUUUCAUAUGCUUUUUAGUACAUCUACUUCCUCAUCAUGGAAGAAGGAAAUCAGUCCAACAGGCGCAUCUAAAGUGACAUGUCGUGCACCGCCCACUUGUCCUCAAGCUGCUCGUCGUGUCAUGCCGGCUUGCCAUCAACCACAGUUGUGGCUCAACCCCCACGGUGCUUCCCCUCUAUUGUUGCCCUCACCAUGCUCUCCUGCGUAUUGGCGGCCUCGAUGAGCUAUGUUUGCUGCUCCCGCGUGCUGCAGUACGCCGCUGAGCUGGUCACCAUUUAUAUUUUUGUUUCUGUAUUUAUUUGUACAAUGAUAGAUGGAUGGGUUGUUCUUCCUUUUGUUGUAUGGUGAUGCUAAUCAUACACCAGCGUGGAGGCUAGUUCAUGUCUUGCUGUUACAUACUUGCAACAUUAUUUAGUUGUGUUCACAAGCAGGAAAGUUUGCAUUCGGGAAUUUAGACAAAAAAUAUGUUCUGCCAUUACACUUUUCAUGCCCGACAGUUCUGGGCAAAUAGGUAACAUUAUCUCUGCUAGACCGGACUCUAUAUAUUCACGACACUCUAAACUGCUAUGGUAAGUAUAUUUAAACUGAUGUAUUUCUUCUAGAUGCUGAGCUUUUUGUAGUAUAGAGAGUACAAGCUCAGAAGUUUGCCUCCUUUCCCAACCUCCACUAUGUUGGUCUCUCCUGUUCUCCUCUCUUCACUAACCUCUCUCUUUUUUUGCUUGAAUUCAUGCUAAUGUUUGCUGUAACUUGAAUUCCACCAGGGAUGCUGGCAGCCGUCCAAGUGGAGCGUUGAUGCCAGUACAAGUAGAAUGGUGUUUAGAAUUUAUUUGUAACUCUGUAUGCCGGGACCUUCAGCAUAUAUGGUGAUCUCAGUAUUCUAAUCUGUAGGCCAAAAAUGGUGAACAUUUAAACAUCAGUUCGAUUUAAUAAAAUUGAGAAGUUCUACUUUUGGUAAA